rnacentral:rRNA from 1 species
UGCGUAGGGGGGCGAGCGUUGUCCGGAUUCAUUGGGCGUAAAGCGCUUUAAGGCGGUUCGGUAAGUCGGGUGUGAAACCUCCAGGCUCAACCUGGAGACGCCACUCGAUACUGCUGUGACUAGAGUUCGGUAGGGGAUCACGGAAUUCCUGGUGUAGCGGUGAAAUGCGCAGAUAUCAGGAGGAACACCGGUGGCGAAGGCGGUGAUCUGGGCCGACACUGACGCUGUAGAGCGAAAGCGUGGGGAGCGAACAGG